rnacentral:lncRNA from 11 species
UUUGAAUUCUAAUGGCAGGUGUUUCUAGUUCCCAUGUCAAGGACAGCCAGCUUUCUACCUCUUGCAUAAGUGCUGGAACCAAAAUCCUUUUCUGAAAGAGUCCCCCCCUCCCCCUGGUCUACAUGUUAGGAAGGCGAUAUUCCUUGACUGCAGUAAGAGUGGUCACAAGAACAAGAGCAGAACUACAAUUUAUGAACAAUAAAUUCUGGUGGAUUCCAAUCAAAAUGUCACCUAUGUUUGGAGCCUUCACACAGUGUUUGAGAACAUUUACCCAUAUCAAGAUUUGCCGGAACUCCCUGGCAUCUAGGAAUCAUGCGUCAAGAGAAAGGGAGGAGGAGGAGGAAAAUUGCUCCUGGCUCAUCAUUCCUAAGCAUCAGAAGAGGGCCAGCAGCACUUUAAUGGUGACCAGCCUUCAAAACCCAUUUCAUCCCAAGAGCCACAGUUCAUUCAGAUUCUUGCCCAGUUUGAUGACAGGCAGUCAUGGUUAAGGAUUGUGUUAAUAAUUGCCUGACUGCUCAUUGGAGGAAGGGAUAAUAGAGGCAAAGAUGAAGUACUUUGGGCACAUAAUGAGAAGGAAGGAAAGCUUGGAGAAGAUGAUGACACUGGGGAAAAUGGAAGGAAAAAGGAAG